AGAGUUUGAUUCUGGCUCAGGAUGAACGCUGGCGGCGUGCCUAACACAUGCAAGUCGAACGGGUGUACGGGGAGGAAGGCUUCGGCCGGAAAACCUGUGCAUGAGUGGCGGACGGGUGAGUAACGCGUGGGCAACCUGGCCUGUACAGGGGGAUAACACUUAGAAAUAGGUGCUAAUACCGCAUAACGGGGGAAGCCGCAUGGCUUUUCCCUGAAAACUCCGGUGGUACAGGAUGGGCCCGCGUCUGAUUAGCCAGUUGGCAGGGUAACGGCCUACCAAAGCGACGAUCAGUAGCCGGCCUGAGAGGGCGGACGGCCACACUGGGACUGAGACACGGCCCAGACUCCUACGGGAGGCAGCAGUGGGGGAUAUUGCACAAUGGGGGGAACCCUGAUGCAGCGACGCCGCGUGGGUGAAGAAGCGCCUCGGCGCGUAAAGCCCUGUCAGCAGGGAAGAAAAUGACGGUACCUGAAGAAGAAGCCCCGGCUAACUACGUGCCAGCAGCCGCGGUAAUACGUAGGGGGCAAGCGUUAUCCG
rnacentral:rRNA from 1 species